AAGCGGUGGAGCAUGUGGUUUAAUUUCGACGCAACGCGAAGAACCUUACCAGGGCUUGACAUCCCCUGACCGCGUAUGAAAGUACGUUUUCACCCUCGGGUGACAGGGAGACAGGUGGUGCAUGGUUGUCGUCAGCUCGUGUCGUGAGAUGUUGGGUUAAGUCCCGCAACGAGCGCAACCCUCGACCUUAGUUGCCAGCAUUCAGUUGGGCACUCUAAGGUGACUGCCGGCUAAAAGUCGGAGGAAGUGGGGAUGACGUCAAAUCAUCAUGCCCCUUAUGACCUGGGCUACACACGUGCUACAAUGGGCGGUACAAAGGGUCGCGAACCCGCGAGGGGGAGCCAAUCCCAAAAAGCCGCUCUCAGUUCGGAUUGCAGGCUGCAACUCGCCUGCAUGAAGCCGGAAUCGCUAGUAAUCGCAGGUCAGCAUACUGCGGUGAAUACGUUCCCGGGCCUU
rnacentral:rRNA from 1 species